rnacentral:rRNA from 1 species
UACGUAGGGGGCAAGCGUUGUCCGGAUUUAUUGGGCGUAAAGAGCGUGUAGGCGGCCAGACAGGUCCGUUGUGAAAACUCGAGGCUCAACCUCGAGAUGUCGAUGGAAACCGUCUGGCUAGAGUCCGGAAGAGGAGUGUGGAAUUCCUGGUGUAGCGGUGAAAUGCGCAGAUAUCAGGAGGAACACCGGUGGCGAAGGCGGGUCUCUGGGCAGUAACUGACGCUGAGGAGCGAAAGCGUGGGGAGCGAACAGG